UGAGGCCAUCCUGGAGUACAUUCUGC
rnacentral:piRNA from 1 species